UGCCGUCUUUUGACGAUGGCAGGAUAAUUAUUGACCUGAGGAAUAAUAUGGAUUUAUGUGGUUGUGAAAAUAGACUUUGUGUUUGUGAGUGUGAAAAUGUUAGUGUGUGUGUGCGCGCGCGCACGCGCUGGGACCCCACUUGACAGGUAAGUGUUUGCCUUUUCGUGUGACACGAGUGAUACAUUUAUGUACUAUUGCGUGAAAUAGUGGUUUUAAAAAAUAAGGGCAGUCGCGUUUGCAUUGCUAUCUGUAGGAUAGGACGAGCGUUUUUAAUGGAAUUGCCUCGCGAACCUGGUGAAGUCUUUGUUUUGGGCAGGGUAUUUUAUGAGUGCCCGACGCCGGUCCUGCUGUUGUUUGUUUGUUUGUUAGUAUGUAUCUGUCACGUUCGUAGCGCUGUUCAGGCGCUAGCCGCGUAGCGAUAAGCGGUGAUUCUCCGAUUAUUCCUGAGCGGUACGACUUAAGCCUUUUCCCUGCUCACUUAAGGAAAUUUGUGUAUCCCUGUCCUGUGACACAAAUGCGUGUAAUUUUCGCGGUUCUUUUCUUCUGUCACUGCUUUUACUCAGAAUGUAGGUGAGGGGGGAAAAAGUCAGCAUCCAGGUAGAGCAGGAGAAAGCCGCUCGGCAGAGGAGAGUUCAUGAGAAUGGAAUUUGUUUGUUUUUUGUUAGUAUGUGUCUGUCACCUUCGUAGCGUUGUUCAAGCUUUAUUUUCUUUGCAAAAAUUCAGACUUUAUGGUAUUAAGCUGUUCGAGUAGAAGUGACUUUCCGUGCUCGCUUAAGAUAGAUUGUGUAUCCCUGUCCUGUGCUUUCUUCACGCAGGGCCAAUGCAAAUGAGUAUUUAGCAUUAUGCAAUAAUUAUCUGAUAGCAGAAAUGGGUGUCUUUGUCGCAGUUUAUUAGCGUGUGCGUCGUUCUUUUAUUUAUUUUUUUCUCUUAUAGCUAUGCGAGCAAAAGUGCGUGUAAUAUUUCGCUGCUCUUUUCUUAUUUUCUCUACUUUUUAUGUAGAAGAAAGCCUCCUGCGUAAAAGCUGAAUAGUGUUCUACCAGUGGAAGUGGGGUUGUUUGUUUGAUUUUGUUGGGUGUUCGAUAUCUUGACGAAGUAAGCAGUGCUUAAUUUUGCAGGUUUUUGAGCAGAAAUGCUGGUAUCUGAGCACGGAGUACAAAUUUCUAUAUUUCUCUGCUCCCUAAGAAAAUUUGUACGUCGUUUUCCAAGCAGACCGCGUUUAGUUUACGCGAAAUGAACUUAUGUAUGCUCUAUGAUGAUCCGCCGCAGGCUUAGCCCUUUUCCCCGAUCACCAGUGUUUUGGCAUUCGAUGUCGCAUGUCUAGACUUGUUCAGUAGUGUUGCAAUUUUUACCCUUCGCUGAUAUCUUGUUGGUGUCAUGUUGUGCUAGCCGCGUAGCGAUAAGCGGUGAUUCUCCGAUUAUUCCUAGGCGGUACGGCUUAAGCCUUUUCCCUGCUCACUGAAGGAAAUUUGUGUAUCCCUGUCCUGUGCUUUCUUUACGCAAGGGUAAUGCGUCUGUGUAUGUGGCACUAUCAUAUACCAGACAUGAGUGUCUUUUUCUUGGUUUAUUGGCAUAUGCUUCAGGUUUUUUAAGUCAAGCAAAAGUGCGUGUAAUAUUUCGCUGCUCUUUUUCUUAUUUUCUCUACUCUUAUGUAGAAGAAAGCCUCCGGCGUAAAAGCUGAAUAGUGUUCUACCAGUGGAAGUGCGGUUGUUUGUUUGAUUUUGUUGGGUGUUCGAUAUCUUGACGAAGUAAUCAGUGCUUAAUUUUGCAGGUUUUUGAGCAGAAAUGCUGGUAUCUGAGCACGGAGUAGAAAUUUCUAUAUUUCUCUGCUCCUUAAGAAAAUUUGUACGUCGUUUUCCAAGCAGACCGCGUUUAGUUUAGGCAAAAUAGAAAAAUGAAGUUGUGUAUGCUCUAUGAUGAUCCGCCGCAGGCUUAGGCCUUUUCCCCGAUCACCAGUGUUUUGUAUGCGAUGUCGCAUGUCUAGACUUGUUCAGUAGUGUUGCAAUUUUUACUCUUCGCUAAUAUCUUGUUGCUGUCGUCUUGGGUUAGACGUUGAGCUUCGUAGCGAUGUGCGGUAACGCUACGAUUAUUCCUGAGCGCUCCGUGUGUUUAAUGCGUUGUCCUCUGUGCGUGCAUGCGUGUGCUUUUUUUCCUGCUUUGUGACGUCAUCGUGGCAUGUCUGGACUUGUUUAGCAGUGUUGCAAUUUUACCCGCUGCUAGUAUGUUGUUGGUGUCAUGUUGUGCUAGCCGUCGAGUUUCGUUGCGAUAAGCGUUGAUUCUCCGGUUAUUUCUGAGCGGUUCGACUGCUCACUUAUGGAAAUUUGUGUAUCCUUGUCCUGUGCUUUCUUUACGCAAGGGUAAUGCGGCUGUGUAUGUGGCAUUAUGCAAGAAUUAUCUGGUGGCAGAAAUGGGUGUCUUUUUCUCAGUGUAUUGGCGUGCGCUACGGUUUCUUGCAGUUACAGCUAUUGGAGCACAAAUGCGUGUAAUUUUUCGCGGUUCUUUUCUCCUUUCACGGCUUUUACUCAGAAUGUAGAUGAGGGGAAACAGUCAGCAUCCAGGUAGAGCAGGAGAAAGCCGCUCGGCAGAGGAGAGUUCAUGAGAAUGGAAUUUGUUUGUUUUUUGUUAUCUGUUGAGUGUCAGUAUUCGCUUUCCUCGAUAUGUUGAGGAAGUCAGCCGUUAUAGGUAUUUGUGCAGAAAUGCUGGUAUCUGAGUGUGUGGAGUAGAAAUUCCUAUAAGCACCUCUCCUUGUGCAUUCCUGAGCUGCUGUGUGUGCGCGCGUGCUUCUUUUUCCUGGUUUGCGACGUCAUGAUGGCAUGUUGGGGCUUGUUUAGCAGUGUUGCAAUUUUACCCGCCGCUAUUAUCUUGUUAUUUGUGUUAGCCGCGUAGCGAUGUCCAGUGACUCUGCUAUUAUUCCUGAGGUCUUAAGCCUUUUCCCUGCUCACCUAAGGAAAUUUGUGUAUCCCUGUCCUGUGCUUUCUUUGCGACAAUGCGUCUGUGUAUGUGACACUAUCAGAUACCAGACAUGAGUGUCUUUUUCUUGGUUUAUUGGCAUAUGCUUCAGGUUUUUUAAGUCAAGCACAAGUGCGCGCAAUUUUUCGCUGCUCUCUUCCUCAAAUCACCGAUUUUACAUAGAAGAAAGUCGCAUGGUGCAGCUGAGAAGAGGGUUUCUCUUAUUGUUUGUUUGAUUUUGUUAGGAGCUCGGUAUGUUGAGGAAGUCAGCUGUAUCCGUAAAGAAAUGCUUGCAUCUGAGCGCAGGAUAGGUAUUCCUGAAGCACGGCACCCUCAGUGUAAAUUAAUUAUUUUGGAUGUGAGUCUGCUUCACUGCAUGACAAGGCUGAAAUGGGAACAGAGAAAAAAUUGGAGCGCUUCAUUAAUAACGAUCCAAGUAAUAGGGUAAUUAUAGUUUCCAUAGAAAGUUGGGCUCCUAAAAUUAUAGUUUAGUUGUAGUUUUUCUAAACUGCAAUGCAAUAAUCAUUAAUAUAGUAUAGGAAUGCUAUCGUGUUCCCGUAAAGGCGUUCUGUCUUGUGCUUUGGAAUGCGCGAAUAGAACUUUGCUACCAGGCUUUCCCGCCUUUAUGCUCGCAAUGCGCGAAUGGAACUUUGCCCACCCGGCUUCCGCGCCUUUUUUGCUCGCAGGUGCAGCCUCAGACAACGAAUGUAUGAGCAUAGAAAGGGUCACGUAUUACAUAAGCCUGGAGGUGAUGUUGAGUGAUCUCACUUAUUAUUUUAAAAGAGCAGUGGCAGUUUACUGUAAUUCUAAUGACCAUGAUGAGCCUUUGGGGUGAAAAUCGUUAAUAUGCGGGGUGCUUUUUUGUUGAAUUUUAAUGAGAGAAUCAAUGUCAUUAAGAGUAGGACAAAGGAAAUAAUCUUGCGAUUCAAUGAAUGAUAGGAGUCUUUGCCGGUGUCUUCUUCUUCAGACAGGAUGUGAUGACGUCAUGCAGUCUGUAUCAAUGCAUUGACCAUUACUGGAAAAAAGUGUGGCAAUAGAAAAAUGGUGUGUAUUGUCCUGGGCAGAUUUAUGAUGAGCACUGUUUUUGAAUAAGAAGAAAUAGUUUGAUGCUGGUUUCCUUCUUUGUUUCUUUUCGCUUUUUCCCCCCUUGUCUGACAAACAUGUGCUGACCAUGUCUGGGCUUGUUCUGACAUGCUUUCCUUCUGCAUGUAGUUUUUUUCUUUUUGUACAAGGCAUAUUCUUGACGAUAGUGCUGCCUUGAAUGGGAGUAGAGCUAUUCUUAAUAAUUUUGCGAUUCAUUUAGUUCAGAGAGUAACCGCGAGGGGGACAGGUGUGUGACUUUAUGUCUUGCUGAACCAUUUUUUUUCCUGUACAGUAAGACUUUGGGCAUGAAAUGCUACAAUCUCCUCUUGUCUAUGGUGCUCUUCUGCAAUAGUUCCCUAUGUAAUCGUUAUAGAAGAAUAAAGGAAAUAACCUUGGGAUAGUGAUUCAAUAAAUAAUAGGUCCCCUGUCUAGAGCGUACGCGUCCUUGAGCCACGCACCUGCAUGAUGACCGCAUACCGAGAGACUAUUGUUUCAGGUUGACCUUGUCUAGAGGAGCAUUAGUGGAAAAAAAACUGUGUAGCCCUGAGACAAUAGGAUGACGUCACGACCAAUGAGAACGGCCUGCAGGGGGCGCAAGGAUUCACUUCUCUCUUGGACACUGACGGGUCUCGACACGCAAAUUCUGCUCCUGGCGUUGGCCGUCAGUGGAAGAGCGUAGCUUCGGUGGGGUUCUGUCUGCCUCUGAUGGGGUGCGGAUGUGUGGUUCGUCACUGGUGAAUGGUGUACGACGAUGCAGGUGGAUUUUGUAACGAGCGGGUUUACAAUGAGGGAAUGCUGUGAACGGGAAAAAUUAUGGUGAGUGUCUUUUCACUCUGUUCAAGUGUUCGUUUUCCUCUGUUGCUCAGCAGUCGUACAAUUUGUGCUGACGUGUUCUGACAUGGCCCGAUAUGCAUGCUUUCCUGUGUUGACGUUUUGUAAUUUUUCUCUUUUGACAAGGAACAUUGUUGUCUUGACGAUAGUGCUGCCCUGAGUUCUGCGCUCCUCUUUACCCUUACUCUGUGUUGAUUUGUUGAGUACCUAGUCCUCUUAUUUGCCGUUGAUGGAGUUACGUGUUAGGAUAUUUUGUUCUUUUGCAAGUCUCAUUUAGUAAGACUUUGGAAUUCCUACGAUCAGCUUUCAUGCAUGGUGCUCUUCUGCAAUAGUUUCCUAUUCAGUUGUUAUAGAAUAAUAAAGGAAAUAAUCUUGGGAUAGUGAUUCAAUAAAUAAUAGGUCCCCUGUCUAUAGCGCACGCGUCCUUGAGCCACGCAGGUGCAUGAUGACGUCAUACCGUGGCUUCACUACAGAUUGACCAAAGGAGCAUUAGUGGAAAAGAACAGUGUAGCCCUGAGACAAUAGGAUGACGACACGACCAAUGAGAACGGCCAGCAGGGGGCGCAGGAAUGCUCUUCUCUCUUAGCCUCACGACCAAUGAGAACGGCCAGCAGGGGGCGCAGGAAUGCUCUUCUCACUUAGCCUCACGACCAAUGAGCAACGAGAGAAGAGGGCGCAGGAAUGCUGUUCACUCUUAGCCUCUCGGAGGUGGUCACCCCAGAGGGCGCUAGGAGCGCGUAUGCGUAGCGGCCGCGGAGCGGCGCCCCAGUCAGUUUCUCUCCGGCUGUCGCAGAAAGCAGACGUGCGCUCCCCGCGCUCGCUCAGUUUCUGGCUGGUUGUCACGGAGAGCAGUCGCAUCGGUCUGCGCUCCUGCUGUGGUGAGGUGAUUUGUUGCGUAACUAAUGCUUUCGUCAACUUUGUUCCCGCUUUGUUUGCGAUUUUCGUGCCAGUGCUGGUUGCUGUUGACCGGGCAUCCCCGGCAUUUUCUAUCAUCUUCUGCCUUGGGAACGGCAGUAGCGCUGGCGUGAUUCUUAAUAAUUUUGUUGUGAGAUUAGUUGAGAAAGUAACCGCUAGGGGGUGCAGCUGCGGGGCUUUAUACAGGACAAAAAAGCAUUACGAGUCAGUUUCUGCCUGCCUCUCGGAUGGAGCAGUCGCAUGGUUCUGCGCUCCUGUUGUGGUGGGAUCAUUUGUUGUGUAACUAGUUCUAUUUUCUUGUUAGCUAUUGAUGGUUUGCAUACUCUUGCUUUCCCAGCCUCUGUAUUACGAGUGUUUUUCUCCUUGCAUGUCCAGAGCUGUCCUAACUUGCCCAGACAUGCCAUGAUGACGUCACAGCUGACGUCACAGGAUGUCCGGAACUGGUGCUGCGAUGCUUUGCAACCUGCCUCCGUGCUCCGUCGCCCAGCGACAGUCAGCGGCCGUUCCGGACCGCUUUCUACAAGAUGGCGUUGUUGAUCUUCAACUAAACUCCUUCUCUCCACUCUAUCUCUAUCUAUUUUUUUUAUUUUUUAUCAGCUCAAGUAGCCGGCAACUCACACAGUGGUCUGGACGUGUCUUAGAUGAUCCCCAAUUAGUGUAAUGACUCCCUGGUGGGUCCUGAUUAAUGUGGGGGGUCCCAAUUAGCUCUAAUUGCUAAUUAAUGGCGUCCAGACGAAGAUGUGAGUUUCCGGAUACUUGAGCUGAUCCCAUACUACUGCUGAGAACACGAAUGCAACUGAGAACAUUCUCGCGGUUCCGAAUCCAUUACCGUUUCAAAGUGUUGACAUCGUGUUUAGUGCGUCUGCUGAGUCGAGUCUUCAAAACCAAGAAUACGAUGGAGACGCUCGCUCAUCCAGUGUUCCUCCGCAAGCUAACUUUGAAGAGCAGCUGAGAUCGUGGGCGCUUGCACCGUCUGUGUCACAUGUAGAUAAUCUCUCUUCCAAGGUCGGUGGGGGGGUUCCUCUUGACCACUGCUCCUUCGAAAAGGGGGUGACAGUUUAACGCAAAAGAAAAGAGUGUAAGUGAGCUGGGGUACGUUCGAAAGUGGUAUCAUUUCCCUCAGUUUGAGGAGAAAGAUGCGGACAGGAACACAUAACAGAACGGGAGGAGUUGUGUCGCUGUCCGUGUCUUUCUCCCUACGCUCACAGAAGUAAUACCACUUUCGUGUGACAGCUGUUGAGACAGAAAUUUGAAUGAAAGUGUCGACAUCUGAUGACUCACACGUUGGGAAAACAUCUAAGCUGCUCUGUAGUUUAUUUUUAAUAAAAAUUCUGUGAGAGCUAAAAACAAACAUCCUGUGUGACAUGUCUCGAAACCUGUCUUGCUAUCUGAACAUGCAGAUCAGUCUGAAAACAGCAUUGUGCAAGCCUUUUUAUGCAUUAUGCAUUGAGUAGAAAGGUAUCCCAGCUUUACUUUGAUGUGUACACAGCCAUUAGAAGCAGCGGCUUAGCCAGAAAAAUAUUUCUGGAGGGGUUCUUCAGGGACAUAUGUGGGAGACGGGGAUUCCUGCUCAUUCCCCUCUCCCAAAUGUAUCCAUUUAGGGAGUCUCAACCCCGAAACCCCAGAGCUUCUGGCUAUGCCAGAUGUUAAAAGCUUAGUCUAUGAAAUUAUCUGAUUAACUAGAGAAGUAUGACCACAGUUACCUAACGCUAUUCAGCACUAUCAACAUUAUCAUUUAUAACGCCAUCAACAUGACUAUAUUCUUUUCCAUAAGGGAGCCAAAACAGCCCCAAUGCUUCGUACAGUGGGCAUAGCGAAGUUGAAAAGGAUGAUUCAUUGGAGCUGCAGGGCUGCAUCCCAGUCGGGUAUAUUGAAGGACCGUCUCAUAUGCCUAGCGUAACAGCAGCGUCAAGCUUCAGAGUACCUGAACUGUCUCACACUCUCUAAUAGGAACAUUCUGCGAGCAGUAUUCGCCCCACCUCUGCUUCUGCCCCUCCCUCGGCUGUCCAAACCAGAAGUGUACCUGAGUUGCCCCACACACUGUACCAGGAACAUUCCGCCAGCAGUAUUCGCCCCAUCUCCGCUGCUGCUCCUCCCUCAGCUGUCCAUACCAGAAGUGCACCUGAACUGCCCCACAUGCCGCACCAGGAAUACUCUGUCAGCCGUAUACGCCCCACCACUGCUCCUGCUCCUCCCUCGGCUGCCCAACCCAGAAGUGCACCCGAACUGCCUCGCAUUCUGUACCAGGAACAUUCCAUCACCCGUAUUCGCCCCACCUCCACCUCUGCUUCUGCUGCUUCCUCAGCUGUUCAUGCCAGAAGUGCACCUCUACAAGGGUUCUAAGGAGAGGUGCUGAAAUUGCUUCAUAUGCUCCAACUAACACAGCACACGCACGGCGAGCAGCUUCAGGCUAUUCUUCGAGCAUUGAAUAACUCUACUAACCCUGCAAAUCAGACAGUGCUUGUGGAGGAGCCUUUCCGGUCCGUAGCUGACUUCCUGAAGUUCGAUGAAGAACUUCAAACGGCAGCGGGAAAAAAGGAGCAGCUGGUAAAAAGUCACUUUGUUGCCAUAUGAGGUUGCCGAUACGUGCACUCACGGACUGACCUAGCGAGCUUCUAUGAGCCACGAAAUGGGUCUGAUGUACCCAGUAGCUUUUAGUAGUAUAUAUACUUUUUUUGUCGGCAGCAGAUUUUCUUGAGACAUGCUUACUCUGAUGUUGGUAUAAAGGCCACAUAUGGCCUUUUAUCCAUGUCUUAUUACCAAACAAUAGUGAGAAAUAUCGGAAGCAGAAAUAUAUUGGUUCUGUGGGAAGUAUGAUGGUGCGAGCAGUUUAGCCACAGUUGAGACAAUCUUUUUUAGCAGAAUAUCAGUCGUCGAGUGUACUCCUGUCCGUUGUUGUACUUCGCCCUCUGCAUUGAAUGUAAUUUGUUGUUGUUGUUGUUUUUUUCUGCUUCAUAUCUUUUAUACAGGGUGUCAGGGAAAACAUGUCAUUGAAUUAUAAUAAAAAACUACACCACCUAGAGUCAUGCGGCCAAUGGCAUUUGUUCUUACUGGGUUUUUGCCACCUCCUCAUGUGAAUGUCGUGUAACGUAAGUUUAAUAGUAGUAAUCAUUCAACCCAAGUUUUACACAGAAAAUCCACGGCAAGUGUUGCACUUUUUACUUUAAAAUUAUUUUAAAAUUACUUUCAAUUUUUUUAAAAAUGUCAAUUUUAAUUUUUUUAAAUUGUGCAAAAUCUAACGCAAUGCAAUACUUGUCGUCGAUUUUUAUGUAAAACUCGGGUUGUAGAAAAAAAAACUAGAUAGGAAGGAAGCUAAGAGCAGCCAUCUCCAAAAUGACGAAUCUGCGUCUUGAAACUUUCUUUUCUUCUGUGUUUCGGUGAUAUGACAUACGGGACAAGAUCUUCACGCGGCAAGGGACGCCGACGGCGGCAAUUCAUCUACCGUCGACGAUUCUGCAGAUGGCGUCGUGUCGUCAGUCAUGCUGUGUCUCCGGCGUGCCUCGUACAAACAAAACAGCACACAUUGAAACAGCUUGCACAUUGAAAACCAUAAGCAGGUUGAUUCUGUGUAUUUUGAUCUGUCUAAGGCCUUUGACACUAUUAAUCAUGAAUUGUUGAUCACAAAGUUGUCACUAUAUGGUAUCUCACUUUCACUCUGCAAAUGGUUUUCUUCCUAUCUCUGCGGCCGGUACAACAUUGUUCGGUACAAAGAUGCAUAUUCUCAUCCUUACUACAUGACAUCUGCCGUGCCCCAGGGAUCUACCCUGGGGCCAUUACUGUUUAACAUGUUUGUUAACGAUUUGUAACCUGUCUACGUAACUGCCACGUCCUGCAAUAUGCUGAUGACAUUAAGUUAUUUCGUGUCAUUGAUGAGAUUCACGACUGUACCGCUCUGCAAGAUGACAUUUCUCGAAUCCAUCGUUGGUGCUCAAACAAUUUGCUUAACCUGAACAUUUCUAAGACAGCCGUCAUCUCUUUCACUCGAAAGCCGCAUCCAUGUCAUUAUACUUACUCUCUCGACUCUGUUCAUAUUAGACGUGAAUCGUCCAUUAAAGACUUGGGUCUUCAUCUUGACAGCUCUUUAACUUUUCACACGCAUGUAACUCAGCUGUGCAACUGUGCGAUGCGUAAACUCGGCAUCAUCUCGCGGAUCACCAAAAACUUUCAAGAUCCAUCUUGUUUCCUUCGCCUAUUCUUCUCCACCGUACUCCCUCUUCUUGAAUUUGCAUCAGUGGCCUGGAACUGCCUCAGUAUCACUCAGUCCGCUGACAUAGAAAACGUCCAGCGACGCUUCAUCUUUGUUUUUCAUCUUCGUCAUCUUGGCUGCAGCACUUACUAUAACUACGAUCAUAUACUGAAUAAACUCUCCAUUCCCACACUAUCUCAUCGCAGAACGAUUCGUGACUGUCAUUUCUUGUAUAAGCUCAUACAUUCUGUCAUCGCCUGCCCCGAACUACUUUCGUGCAUCAACUUUCGAGUGCCCUCACGUUCUCUGAGGUCUCAUCUUCUUUUCUAUCCUCACUCUUUUGCAAAGCUUCAUCCAAUCAAUCGUUUACAACUAAUGUUUAACUCCGCCUUACAACACCAUGACAUCGACAUUUUCGCUCCUUCUCGUGAUUUUCUUACUAGUAUUAGUGCCAUUGUUUCUAUUUAACUUCGUUUGUUUUACUGUUAACCUUGUUGGCUUUUUGUAUAUUUUACUGUCUUUGUUCACGUGUAUAACCUUGUGCGGUGCACCAAUUAGUAGACCCUAGUGGUUGUUUUUGGGUACCUUAACAAAA